GUCCGUGUGGCCAAAUUGGAUACGGCGUCCGCCUACGAAGCGGGAGAUUCCGGGUUCGACCCCCGGCAUGGAUU